CUUAUCGGAUUGAAUGGGCUGCUUAGAGGUCCCUGGAAAUAGCUCCAUCGCUAGAUCGUACCCUAAACCGACACAGGUGGUCAGGUAGAGAAUACCAAGGCGCUUGAGAGAACUCGGGUGAAGGAACUAGGCAAAAUGGUAACGUAACUUCGG
rnacentral:rRNA from 1 species